GACGAACGCUGGCGGCGUGCUUAACACAUGCAAGUCGAACGGAAAGGCCCUGCUUUUGUGGGGUGCUCGAGUGGCGAACGGGUGAGUAACACGUGAGUAACCUGCCCUUGACUUUGGGAUAACUUCAGGAAACUGGGGCUAAUACCGGAUAGGAGCUCCUGCUGCAUGGUGGGGGUUGGAAAGUUUCGGCGGUUGGGGAUGGACUCGCGGCUUAUCAGCUUGUUGGUGGGGUAGUGGCUUACCAAGGCUUUGACGGGUAGCCGGCCUGAGAGGGUGACCGGCCACAUUGGGACUGAGAUACGGCCCAGACUCCUACGGGAGGAAGCAGUGGGGAAUAUUGCACAAUGGGCGGAAGCCUGAUGCAACAACGCCGCGUGCGGGAUGACGGCCUUCGGGUUGUAAACCGCUUUCGCCUGUGACGAAGCGUGAGUGACGGUAAUGGGUAAAGAAGCACCGGCUAACUACGUG
rnacentral:rRNA from 1 species